AUAUCAUUUUUUAAGGUGGCCUUUUGAGCUGUGAAACUGAGAGCUUUGAACUCUGUGACCAAAAAUCUCAGUUCUCCCCAUUGAAUGAUAUAGUCACUCAGUAUGUUAUAAAACUUGGAGAUCAAAGC
rnacentral:snoRNA from 1 species